GUGAGGGGUCAAUGUGUGGGGGUCACUGGUUGGUACCACGUGGUGACGUAAAACCGGCGUUUACAUUGGACAUUUGAUACUUCGCGCAUCAUACGUUAUGUUGAGACAUUUUUUAGGGCUAAAUAGUUUUGUAUAUUGAGUUCAAACUGCUUGUGAAAGUAGGCCACUGUUUUGUCAACUCCAACACACUAGGAAGUGAAGGAAGUGAGGCUAACUUGUAAUGUAGCUAGGCUUGACUGGGGUGUCUUAAAAUCCGUUGCACGAACGUCGAAUAAUUUCCUGGUUUCUCUAACUUCAUUUUUAUCUCAGGGAAUGUAUUUUCUUUAAACGACUAUUUACUAACGUGGCAUAAUAAAUAGAAGCUUGGCUUAAAUGUGCCAAAACGAUAGUUUGAAACUAUCUUGGAGCUGUCAUCGAUAACGUUAGUCGGGCUACUCUGAACUCGCACUAAUGUAACAGAAAUACGUGUCUGUAUUGUAUUCACCAGCACGUCGUUGAAUAAACGUAAGCUACAAUAUGAACAACGGAAAACCCUCCUUGGUUGAUGGCGAAAUCAACGACAAUGAAAAUGUGUCGGAUUUGGAAAAAAAUAAAAUGUUGUCUGCCGGAGACAGCGAGGAGAACAAUAUACAACUCAACCGGAACGGCGACGAUACAACCCAAACCAUCAAACUAUACAAGCGGCGAUGGCUCAUCGUGUUGCUGUUCAGCUCGUAUUCUCUCUGUAACUCGUUUCAAUGGAUCCAGUACGGAAUUAUCAACAACAUUUUCAUGAGGUUCUACGGGGUCGAGUCUUUCACCAUAGAUUGGAUGUCCAUGAUAUACAUGUUGACUUACAUUCCCUUCAUAUUCCCAGUCACCUGGCUACUGGAUAAGAAGGGGCUCCGUAUUAUUGCGCUGGUGGCUACGGCCAUGAAUUGUGCGGGGACUUGGAUCAAGGUGACAAGCGUGAGACCUGAUCUGUUUGCGGUGACCAUGCUCGGACAGUUCUGUUGCUCCCUUGCGCAGGUAUUUAUCCUCGGGAUGCCGUCGAAGAUCGCCUCGGUGUGGUUCGGAUCGGAGGAGGUGUCCACCGCUUGCUCCAUCGGCGUCUUCGGAAACCAGUUGGGUAUAGCCAUUGGCUUCCUGGUCCCUCCCAUCCUGGUGCCUAACGUGGAGGACAUGGAUCAGCUGGCCUAUCACAUCAGUAUCAUGUUCUACAUCACAGCAGGAGUUGCUACGCUGCUCUUCAUACUGGUCGUCAUAGUGUUCCAGGAGCGUCCGGAGCUCCCUCCCACCCAGGCCCAGGCGACAGCUCGCUGCAUCCCUCCAGAACAGUACUCCUACACCGCCUCCAUCCUCAGGCUGCUCCGAAACAAACCCUUCCUCCUCCUCAUCCUCACAUACGGACUGAACGUGGGCUGCUUCUAUGCUGUUGGCACGCUACUGAACCGCAUGAUCAUCGAACACUACCCUGGUGAAGAGUUGAAUGCAGGGAGGAUAGGCCUCACCAUCGUUAUUGCUGGCAUGGUGGGGUCGCUGAUCUGUGGUAUCUGGCUAGACAGAACCAAAACAUACAAGCAGACUACCCUGGCGGUCUACCUCAUGUCCUUCGUAGGGAUGAUGGUCUACGCCUUCACCCUCAGUCUGGGUCAUCUCUGGGUAGUCUUCCUCACCGCUGGAGCUCUGGGGGUCUUCAUGACAGGCUAUCUUCCCCUGGGCUUUGAGUUUGGUGUGGAGCUAACCUACCCCGAGUGUGAAGGCACCUCUUCAGGCCUGCUCAACUGCUCUGCACAGGUGUUUGGUAUCAUCUUCACUAUCUGCCAGGGGAAGAUUAUAGAUAACUACGGGACGCUGGCAGGAAACAUCUUCCUCUGUGUCUUCCUCUUCAUCGGAUCAGUCCUCACAGGCUUCAUCAAGUCAGACCUGCAGAGACAGAAGGCUAACCAGUUGGCCAAGGCAGCUGCGGAUGGACUGCUCUCUGGACAACAGCAGGGCUACGGGGCCACGGCUCUAAUCAAGAGACCGGACAGCCCUUCUGAUUCUUCUCAGGCUUGAUCACUAACCCCCCCCUUAACCCUUACACUCUUAGCUGGAACUUCAGACGAGCCAAGGUCCCUUCAGAUCCCGAGGAUAGGAACGUCCCUGCCUCCGCAGUCCUCGAAGAAACCAGGUUUUAGAGACGGACGGUCUGCUGGACACCAGCAUCUCCCACCCUGCGGAAUGUGAAGUUUAGGGGAGGAGCACAAUCAGGAAGUGUUUACGACCACUUCCCUUUUAACACUGUCCAAAAAGACAUCCAAUAUUUACGCAACAACAAAUAUUAUUUCUGUAUAAUUUCUAGAUGUGCCAUAUCUAAUCUACAAAAUGUUUACUGUCCAAAAUUAGCACAAAUAAUAGUGUAGUUUUACAGGAUACACUGUUGCAUGACAUAGACUGACCAGGUGAAAGCUAUGAUCCCUUAUUUACGUCACUUGUUAAAUCCACUAGAAUCAGUGUAGAUGAAGGGGAAGAGACAGGUUAAAGAAGGAUUUUUAAUAUUUGAGACAUGGAUUAUUUAUGUAUGGGCAAGACAAAAGAUUUAUGUGCCUUUUGAACGGGGUUUGGUAGUAGGUGCCAGGUGCACCGGUUUGAGUCAAGAACUGCAACGCUGCUGGGUUUUUCAUGCUCAACAGUUUCCUGUGUGUAUCAAGAAUGGUCCACCACCCAAAGGACAUCCAGCCAACUGGACACAACUGUGGGAAGCAUUGGAGUCAACAUGGGCCAGCAUCCCUGUGGAACGCUUUCGACACCUUGUAGAGUCCAUGCCCCGAAAAAUUCGAGGCGUUUCUGAGGGCAAAAAGGGGGGAUGCUAGUGUCAAAGUAUCAUUUAGCUUUUUUAAGACCAAAUCUAAAGUGUUUUGAGGAUCCAGGAUAUAUAUAUAUAUAUAUUUGUAUAUAUUUUUUUACUAACCCCAAUCCUCGUUGUGCUCUGAAAAACAAACAAAUGUACCAAAAACAUUCAAACGUGUCCUUUUAGAAAAUCGUUAAGAUGUUGUACAGAUGAAAUUGUGUCAUUCUGAACUCUUAUCCACGACAUUAUAUUUCAUUUUGUGGCGACUGAAGCGUCACUUCUUAGUUAAUUCUAGCUGCAGACUAUACAGAGAAUGGAACAGCUGGAAUGGCUUGAGUUGCACAAAAUGGAAUAUAACGUUUUGCGGGUAAAGUUCGGGAAGGACACGAUGUCAUGUGUAUAUAACGUUUUAACAACCUGCAGCGCUAUACCGAGCGCGUUUCCAUUUGUAAAAGGACGUAUUUGGGUGUUUUUGGAGCGUUUUGUCCCCCAGGGCCCCCCGUACUACACAACGAGGAAGUGAAUCGCAGGUUUGGGUAAUUUUCUCAAAAACAAGUGGAAGAAAAUAGAGAUUUAGUUGUAUUUAUUAAAAAAAUAAAAAUAAAACUUGUCCUUUUUACGGUUUUAGUUGCAGGGAAGCCUUACUACAACUACCACAGACAUGUGACAUCAGUUUUAAUAUUUACCCAUUGAGGUUUGUUUUUGCUAUUCUUUGUCGUUAAAACUAACUUUUUAAUUUUUUUUAUUAAUCUUUGAAAGAAUGCACAAAUAUCUUGGGAGAAAUGUUUUUACAAAUACUGAAAUGAUCAAUUGAUGACGUAAAAAAAAAGCUGGGAAGGUGCAUUAAGUUGUCGUGUCACACUAAUGAAGGGUAGAGUAGUUUUUGUAAGAUAAUUUUAUACUACCUGUAUCUAUAAAGUGUGUUUUUUUUACCGUCCCUUUUCUAGAAACACAGAUUUAUAGUUGUGUAUAACAGUCCAUGUUGUUCUGGAAAUGUCACAUCUAUUUAACAAACAGGUACAUGUCUGUUUGUUGAAAUAAAGAGUCGUUUCCUAAAAGUAA